UUGAAAAACAAUUUGGGUAAGAGCAGUAAAACAAAGUAUUAAACAAGGCAAACAAAAGGCACAAGCCACGGCACACUGUGUAAUUUUAACACUAUGUCACAUGACAGCCAUAAAUUCCAUGAUGUAGGUUUAUCGAGUACUGUGUUCUCUGUGCACGUAAACGAAGGUUACAUAUGUAACCGUACGAUUUGCUCCACAGCAUUUAUUUGCAUGAAAAUUGCACAAUCUGCACGCUGCAUUCUCCAUUACAGAUUUCUGAUGACUGCAGAAAGAGGAAGCAGGAGGAGGAGGCCGUGACUCAGAUUCAAGGAAAGGAGAGUGAACCUGGACCUGCUCCAGCACAGCACACUGUAUGUAAGAGCAGUGGAUCACCCGAGCCUGACCCACAGCCAGCCUGACACACAGACAGCAAAGACAUCCAAAAGACAUCCAGGAGACAGAUCUCUCAGCAAAAAUGUCCUUUUCUGAUCUCCUGUACCCUGACAACCCCAAAAGGCGUGAGAAGGUAAUACAGCUGCAGCAGGAAAUCUACUCUCUGAUGUCCAACAACUUUCGAGCCACCAACCGCCUUAUCAACACCAUUAACGACCACCUCCACUUAGAUUUCCCAAUCAUCAGCAUCCAGGAGAAAGGCACAGUGCAGGAAAACUGCAAUAUAUUAAUCAACUCCAUGAGGAACAUCCAAAAAGAGGUGGAGAAAAUCGACGAGAAGCUGAAAGAGAAACUGGAGCCAGAAGCCUACAAGAAGCUCCAUACCUGAACCUGCCGCAUGAGCAGAAAAAAGCUUUGUUGCGUCUUGUUGUCCCAAUCAUAGGGUCUAUAAGCACUGUUGCUGGAAUAGUACUUAUCACACUCAUUGUUAAGGGGGUUAUUCUGACCGGUAUGGUAGUAGCGAUUGGCACUGUAGCUACUUGUGGGAUAGCAGGGCUGGCCUUGGCUGUAGUAUUCAUAGGGGUUGACUUAAUAGCAAGUGCCAUUAUGGGUGCAGUGGAGAGGGACAAACUAGAACAUGAAAUAAGUGAAUAUGAAAAAGCCCUGGAUACAUUCAGGCCAGCAUCACUUAAAUACCAGGAAGAUAUCUUCUACGCCAUCAUAAAAAUAGAAAAUAUUUAAUGGGCAAACACUAGGGUGACCAGAUGACUCUAUAGGGAUUUUAACACUCCCCUUAAACUGAAUGCAAAGAAGCUGUAAAUUAAGCAUUGACACCUUUGCUUAAUUGAGUGUUGUUGCCUUUACGGUGUACAGCAACAGUAAUAAUGAUGUAAAACAUCUGCAAUUCUGAACAUGUUUCACUAGCUUCUCUUCUGUGAAUUAAAAAUAAGUGGCCCUAGUGUAGGGUUGCCACCUUUUCCACAAACCAAAACCGGACAUAUUUCUCAAUUAGCCUAUCAAACACCAUACUAUCAGAUCCUGGUACAUAUCAAUAACAUCAUACUGUUGGUAUUUUUAGCAGUCGAACUUGCAGGCCAUAGUGGAUACAGUAAAGUAAUUCCUGCCUGGUUGCACAUUUCGCUAGUUCAGUAUCGUGUACAUAACUGUGUAACACCAUUGAAAACUCACAGAAAAACUCAAUCAUUCAUACUUUCUGUCUACGGUACCCACGUUUGCUCUUAUAUAGUGUAUUAUACAGUACAUUACUUUUAAUGGACAGAAAUCUUUAAUUUAGUGUCUGCUAAAUGUCUAUAAUAAUAAUAAUAAUAAUAAUAAUAAUAAUAAUAAUAAUAAUAAUAAUAAUAAUAAUAAUAAUCAUAAUCAUAAUAAUUAAUACAUGUUAACAGUAUGUAUGCUUUGCCUUUGUAUGCAUUUCACCUAAAACCGGACAUUCGGGUUUGUUAAUUGGCACCCGGACACAGAUGCCAAGAACCGGACUGUCCGGGUGAAACCCGGACGGGUGGCAACCCUACCCUAGUGACACGCACUGAUGCUGAAAUCAGUAUCUGAUUGGUCCAAUCAACUGCAGGAAUUGUUAACAGCUAAUUAGUAUUCCGGGUUUACAUGGCAUGGUAAUUUAACAACAAUACUUAUUUACACAGAGGUGUAAUGGUUCAUUCAUACGUUCUCCAGACCCUAUCCGCAGCAUCCCGGCAUUAUGGAGUCAUCUGGUCACCCUAGCAAACACCCAAUCCAUGUAGAGCUCAGCAUGUGACUAUUUUUCAAUAUUGCUUUCGCGUUAUUUCUUGAACUUCUGUUCCCACCUGCAACAAGGCAUAGAGAUCCUGCAAAUCCCACAAGACAGAAAUAUUCCCCACUGAGAGCCCCUUCCCUCAGCUGUGUUCAUCUUGCUUCCAUGCCCCUGGGCACUACCGACUCCCACCCACCUCUGCGUCAUUUUCUUGCAUUUUAGAGCAAACAUAUUCUGUAUACACUUUGAUAACCUUAAACAUAUUGACUUCAAAACUUUGACCCACCCACUAAUAGCAAACAACUCAGAAUUGAAUGGCGGUUGGUUUUGUGAGUAGAAGAAAACGCCUUCUUUUGAACAAUCACACCGCUAUUAAGUACAGAUUUAUCAUUUGUGAUAAGAGGGGUGAGUCAAAGUUUUGAUUUAAUCUGGCCCCAGGUUUUUAAAUAACAUAUUUACUUUUACUUUCAAAGAUCAUGAAUUUGGUGUUUUUCUGCAAAUUACCCCUUUUUUUUUUGUUUACCCAACCAAUCCCACCCACUACAACAUAUAUUCGACCCGCUACUGCUCUAUGGCAGCGGCCUGUACAGGAUCCCAGUCCAGUUGCAAGUUUAAAUUCCAUUCAUUUUACGAUAUUGCUACAUAGUUUCCUGGUUUUUGUUUUGUUUUUUUGCUCCCCUUCAUUAGAAGAAUCUAUGUAAAUGGCAAAAUCCCUUUCAUGGGCAGCUUCCGAUGGCUCAGAAUAACCCAUGUGAUAUGCGUAGUGUAUGUUCCCACUUCCUGUUUGGAUUACUUUGCACUUAUCAACAUUAAAUGUCAUUUCAUAAGUGUCUGUUCAAUCCAUGAUUUUGAUCCCCAAUCCUGUUCCUGGAGGAGCCGCAGUCCAACAUGUUUUCUAGAUCUCCAAAAUGACCAGCACCUUCAGAACUGGGAAGAGUAGCUAAAUUGGUCCAAUUAGAACAAGACUUAGUUGAAUUAGGUAGUUCAGCCCACAGCUGGAAUGAAAAUCUGAAGACACCUCGGCCCUCCAGGACCAGGAUUGGGGACUCCUGGUCUAAGUCAUUUAGUAAAUUCCUUGCUGUUUGCCACUUCCCCACUUUGUAUCAUCUGUAAAUUUAACUAGUUUGCUAUCUAUACCAGAAUCGAAAUAAUUUCAUAUAGAUCAGAAAGAGCAACAGAUGUAAAACAGACCCCUGUGGUACACUGCUGCUUACACUGGCCCUGAUAGAGGUUACGACCCUUAAGAUGAAUCACUGUUCCCUGUUUCUCAACCAGUCCAUGUGAAGACAUUACCUUGGAUUCCUACAGUUUUUAAUUAAGAAUUCACCUUUUAUGACAUUAAACACGAUGUAAAUUUUGGCAAUUUUUCUGUUUUCUUUUUGUCUUUGUAUUUCACACAAUUAAGAAAGCAGUUAUUAUUACGUUAUUGAUGCAUAUCACAAACACCUGUCACUGUCAUUCAGUGAGCAACUGUUUAGACUCUAUUUGUAGUGCAGCAAAACUUUUGGGUCAUUUGCCAAAAACCUUGACCUCCUUUGAUUUCAAUAAAACAAAAUUGUAAUGAA